rnacentral:rRNA from 1 species
UGCGAAUGGCUCAUUAUAUAAGUUAUCGUUUAUUUGAUAGUAUCUUGCUACUUGGAUAACCGUGGUAAUUCUAGAGCUAAUACAUGCUAAAAAUCCCGACUUCGGAAGGGAUGUAUUUAUUAGAUUAAAAACCAAUGCCCUCUGGGCUCUCUUGGUGAAUCAUGAUAACUUCUCGAAUCGCAGGGCCUUGCGCCGGCGAUGGUUCAUUCAAAUUUCUUCCCUAUCAACUUUCGAUGUUUGGGUAGUGGCCAAACAUGGUUGCAACGGGUAACGGAGGGUUAGGGCUCGACCCCGGAGAAGGAGCCUGAGAAACGGCUACUACAUCCAAGGAAGGCAGCAGGCGCGCAAAUUACCCAAUCCCGAUCCGGGGAGGUAGUGACAAUAAAUACUGAUACAGGGCUCUUUUGGGUCUUGUAAUUGGAAUGAGUACAAUUUAAAUCCCUUAACGAGGAACAAUUGGAGGGCAAGUCUGGUGCCAGCAGCCGCGGUAAUUCCAGCUCCAAUAGCGUAUAUUAAAGUUGUUGUGGUUAAAAAGCUCGUAGUUGAACCUUGGGCCUGGCUGGCCGGUCCGCCUCACCGCGUGCACUGGUCCGGCCGGGCCUUUCCCUCUGUGGAACCCCAUGCCCUUCACUGGGUGUGGCGGGGAAACAGGACUUUUACUUUGAAAAAAUUAGAGUGCUCCAGGCAGGCCUAUGCUCGAAUACAUUAGCAUGGAAUAAUGAAAUAGGACGUGCGGUUCUAUUUUGUUGGUUUCUAGGACCGCCGUAAUGAUUAAUAGGGACAGUCGGGGGCAUCAGUAUUCAAUUGUCAGAGGUGAAAUUCUUGGAUUUAUUGAAGACUAACUACUGCGAAAGCAUUUGCCAAGGAUGUUUUCAUUAAUCAGGAACGAAAGUUAGGGGAUCGAAGACGAUCAGAUACCGUCGUAGUCUUAACCAUAAACUAUGCCGACUAGGGAUCGGACGAUGUUAUUUUUUGACUCGUUCGGCACCUUACGAGAAAUCAAAGUGCUUGGGCUCCAGGGGGAGUAUGGUCGCAAGGCUGAAACUUAAAGAAAUUGACGGAAGGGCACCACCAGGGGUAAACCUGACCUGUGAAGCCGCAGUCAACUCUGCUCCAGAAAGCCGCCCGAAAGGGUCGGUGGUGUUCCUAGGGGAGAGCUCUCCCCUAAACUAAUGGCUAGUCCUGCCGCCCGCGGCAGGGCGACACCCUCAAACUGACGGGGAACUCCUAAAGCCCUCGCUCCGGACAGGCGUCGGGAAACCGACGGCCUGCUCACCAGGCUAACGACCUCGGGUAUCGGAAGCAACGCGAGAGGAUGCUACAAUGGACAAUCCGCAGCCAAGCCCCUACGGUGCGGCCUCUACGGGGGUCGCAUACGGGGAAGGUUCAGAGACUUGACGGGGGUGGGUGGCGCGGGCUCUUGGGGUGCAAGCCGCGUGCUUGCUUGCAGGCCCAGGCGCCCGCCGCUGCCUAAGAUAAAGUCCGGGCGUGCGCGAAAGCGUGCGCGGCAACCACGCAACCCGCCGUUUCCAGCGGGUGCGAGGCCCCAGAAGUAAAAACAACCGGGAGCCUGCGGCUUAAUUUGACUCAACACGGGGAAACUCACCAGGUCCAGACACAAUGAGGAUUGACAGAUUGAGAGCUCUUUCUUGAUUUUGUGGGUGGUGGUGCAUGGCCGUUCUUAGUUGGUGGAGUGAUUUGUCUGCUUAAUUGCGAUAACGAACGAGACCUUAACCUGCUAAAUAGCCCGUAUUGCUUUGGCAGUACGCCGGCUUC